rnacentral:lncRNA from 1 species
GUGGACCAAUAAAAAUAAUGUCAUGUAUUUAAUUUAAAUAAAAUUAUAUUUCACAUCAGAAUUUGUUAAAAGGAGGAGAUAUUUUUGGACUUAAAUUUAAUGUUAAGGGUAUUUUUGAUCCAAAUAGGUGGAUGGAGGGGUAUUUUUGAACCAACAGAGGAAGAAGGGCAUUUUUGAGCUAUUUUUAAUAUAUUAAGGGUAUUUUUGAAUCACAUAAAUGGGUGAAAAUGUAUUUUUAAGCUUAAAGGUGGAAGGAAGAUAUUUAUGUAUCAUUUUCAAUAGUUGAAGGGUAUAUUAGACCCUUUUCCUUUUCCGUUCAAAAAAAAAAAAAACAUUUCAAAGUUAGAAAGGAAGGAAAAAAUUAAACUCACACCCAUUAUUAUUAAAUACUCCCUCC